AAAAGGCAAUCAAGUUGAUAACCGUUGAGUUGUACCUUAUAACCCAUGGCUUUUAAGCUUUUUAAAAAAUAUUAAGCGGACAUAAAUGUUGAAGCCGGCAAAUAUUUUCCGUUGUAAAAAGAGGGCAACCAGCAUAUUGUUAAAGCCUGUAUAAAAUGUUCUCAACAUUUGCAAUAUGUUUAGCGAUUUUCAUUAACAGAAAAUAUGAAGGUUCAGGCCGAAAAAGAGGAAAUCUCUCGAUGAAUUCUCUUUUAAAACUUGGUAGAGGAACAUUACUGUUAAAAGCAGAUGGUCCCUUUCGCGGGUGCAUUGAAAUUCCUGAGCAGUGCUUGCUUGCAGCAAAUGGAUCUAUAGUAGACAAGAUUUUUGGAGUUGCAGAAGAAGAUGAUUAUGCAAAACAUGCCAUUUUGACACCUACUAAUGUAGAUUGUUUAGCAAUAAAUGAAGAAGCUUUGGACCGUUUACCAGGCAAUGUAAAAGUUUAUUUAAGUGUAGAUGCUAUUGAAAAGAUGAUCUUAACGAAAUCAACGACUUUCCUGUUGAGUUUUUAAACAGUCUUACUUCAUCGGGAAUCACUAUUCAUUGCCUAAAACUAAAAACUGGUGCUGUUAUAAUGUUACUUCGAAAUUUAUUUCUUAAAGCUGAACUUUGCAAUGGUACCCGAUUGAUGGUGCGUACUCUACAAAAUAAUAACAUUGAUGGGCAAGUUCUAACAGUUGUUUCAGUUGGCAAGAGGGUAUUUGUUCCUCGAGUUCAGUUAACUCAAUCUGAUUCAAAUUUAUCUUUUACUCUUAAACGUCGUCAAUUUCCUGCUUAGCUCAUAUUCGUGUUGAUCUGUCAGGGUUAUGGAAAAAUAAAAAGUCGAGUUCCUUUUCCUAUGGCUGACUUGAUUAUGGCUUACCUAAAGCCUAAUAAUAAUGAAAC